GAGUAUCUGGUUAUCAGAAGGAAUAAGAAUAACCUUCAUGGGUUUCCCAUAAUUAUUCUUGCCAUCCAAGGUGAUUUCUGGGCUGUAGCAAAGGCUAGGAGAGACAUAAAACAUAAAGGUAGAGAGCAGGAUUGGUAUUGAAGGCAGUAAAAGAGAGUGUUAAGGGGGAAGGAGUUAUAAAAACUAGAGUUUCUUAAGAUUCCUGAGGGACAGUCUACCUUCUUUCUGUCUCUCAUGUUGGCCUAUAGGGGCAGGAAGAAAGGGAAGAAAGGAGUCUAACCUCUUGUUAUAUGUUAGAUUGUAUCCCCCCCCACCCCAUACACACACACACCUCCUGCAAAAAAAAAAAAAAAAAAAAAAGGUAUGUUGAAAUACCCAUUCCCCCUAUGUGUGACUGAGAUCCUGCAGAUGAAGACAAGUUCAGGUAAGGUCAUUAGGGUAUGGCCUAAUCAAAGCCUAGCAUUCUUAUGGGAGGAAGGGGGACAUCACUGAAAAAAGACAUAGGAUGGAGAUAGUCAUGUGAAGACAGAGAUGGUAGUGAUGCUGCCACAAGCCAAGGGACACCUGGGGCCACCAGGAAGUGGAAGAGGCAAAGAAGAUCAUCCCUGAGAGGCUUGAGAGUGGGCAUUGUCUUGCCAACAUGUUGAUUUUGACAUCUAUAUACCACAAUUUUGAGAGAAUAAAAAGUUCUUGUUCCUGUUGUUGGUUUCAGCCCAUGGUCUGUGCUCCAUUGUUAUAGCAACCCUAGGAAACUGCUAAUACGCUUCUCAUCAGCAUCCCAUUCUUACCCGCUUUUCAUUUUGGACUCUUCUCUGCACCUGAUGAAGAGUUAAGGGAGAGUCUGAGACAUAAGCAGCCCAAGGCCAAAGGAAAAGAAAGAAAAGAGAUUUGGCCACCACCAAAAGGAAAGAUUAUUUUAGCCACAGAAGGAAUAUUUGGAAUCCACUUACCCAGUCCAAUGUGCACAAAUCAAGGCCAAGGGGAUUUUUUUUAAGGUUUUUUAUUUAUUUAUUCAUGAAAGACACAGAGAGAGAGGCAGAAACACAGGCAGAGGGAGAAGUAGGCUCCUCACAGGGAGCCUGAUGUGGGACUCGAUCCCAGAUCUUGGGUUAUUUAUUUAUUUAUUUAUUUAAUGAUAGUCACACAGAGAGAGAGAGGCAGAGACACAGGCAGAGGGAGAAGCAGGCUCCAUGCACCGGGAGCCCGACCGUUCCACCACCCAGGGAUCCCCCAGAUCCUAGGAUCACACCCUGAGUGGAAGGCAGACGCUUAACGGCUGAGCCACCCAGGUGUUCCAUGGGAUUUUUUUUUUAACUUGCUCUUGGGGUCUCUAUGCCAAGUCAUGAUACGUCAUAUAUAAGUAAAUUAAUAUUGCCCAAAAAUUUUAGCAGAUUUAGAACAUGGCAAAACCUAACUUAUGUUUGUAGAUGGCUUCUAAGAUACUUAGGAGGGAUUUCCCACCCCUCUCCCAGAAGCAAACAAUACUAUAUCUGAGUAUAUAUUCUCUACUUUUGCUUUAAUAUUAAGUGGACUUUGCUUUAACAUUAAAAAAUUAAUAUCCAAACCUGCAGAUUAGAAGAAAAUGGAAAAAGAAAUCAUUUAACUUAUAAAGUUAAUAGAAGUAAAGGCCGGUAAGAUGAGGUUUUUAAUCUUGAAAAAAGUAUUUUUUUCAUAGAUGUUUAUUGUUAAGCUGCAACAUACAUUUUUUAAUACAACAAAAAAUCAAGUGAAAAAUAAUAAACUGAACAAUAAAUAAACCCUCAAAACAAAAUAUAUUCCAUUGGAAAUAUGUUAAGAUAAAUACAGGGUUUCAUUACCAUCUUACUGCUAUUUUCUUAUGUGUUACUGGCCUAUAUACCCCGUAUUUUCUGUAAUCAUACAGGUGUGAAUGGGAGCUACUUUAGUAAUAAGGAGAACAUUGUAGAACAGAUUAUAGUUUUCAAGAGAAAUUCUAUUCCUUUGGGGUUUUGUUUUUGAACAAAUGUAUCCAAUAUCAGAUACAUUAUAAUUCUGACCAAGGAGAGGUCAUUAAGGCAUAGAUACAUUUAUUCCAGAUUCUUUAGGUGAAAAAAAAAACAAGAUAUAUUUCAAAUUACAUAAAAUGUAUAUCCUAUAAAAAUGCAUUGAGAGAUGGUCCAGUGAAGAAGCUAAGGGCUCAGGUUCCCAAGCCAAGCUGUUGAGUUUGGAUAUUAGUUCUAUAAUGUAGUAGCUGUGUGAACUCUCUGUGCCUGCUUCCUCAUCCAUAAAAUAAACAUUAUACAAUCCACUUGGUUUGCUCAACUGGAAAAUAUGUGGUUGUAAGGAUUAAAUGAUUUAAUAUUUAUCAAUAUGUAAACCAUGACAUUUUAUAGUGCUAUAUAGAAGGUGCUUGGUAAGUAUUAGCUUUUGAUAAUGAUGUCUUCUCUGAGUAGGGUUGCUGGUCCAUGCCUUGUUUCUUGUGAUGAUGGGUUCUUGUUCUUGUCCUCGUGUAGUUUAAGACUGAAGAAAUAGUAUUCUAAGUAAGACACAAGGUUUUAGAUUAUAGAUGCUAGAAAGGAUACGUCUGACUGAGGAGAACCUAAGAUACUUCCUGGAGUCGGUGGCAUUUGAAUUCAUCUCGCAGCAAACUGAGAUUUAUCCAAGUUGAGGAUCCAUGGAGGGAUUAGCAUAACCAAAGCAUAGAACAGUGUAAAGAUUCUGGGUUGGCUGGGUGCAGGAUAUAUAGGAUCAUUGACUGGAUAUGCAAUAGCUAGAAAGGUCUGAUGGCAGACAUGACUUGCUAAGGAGCCUGAACAGUAUUUGAGGGAGCAACGGGGAUUCAUAGAUGAUGCCUGAACAAAGAGUGACAAGAUUAUAGCUUCAAUUGUGAAAAAAAAAAAAAAA
rnacentral:lncRNA from 1 species